GGCUACGCAUCCAUGGCAGCACAGGCACACUUCUCAGCUUUUGCUCCUCCAUUCUAAACCUCUUCAACCUCUUCAAACCUGUCACUAGGGUUUUAGAAAGUUUUUGUUGAAUUGUCACGCCCAGCGUCUUACCGAUCUUGCGGCGGUGGCUGGCUGGAUUUGGUGACGGGGAAGUGCAA